AGAGCGAACGCUGGCGGCAGGCCUAAUACAUGCAAGUCGAACGGACCCUUCGGGGUUAGUGGCGGACGGGUGAGUAACACGUGGGAAUAUACCUUUUGGUUCGGAACAACGCAGGGAAACUUGCGCUAAUACCGAAUGUGCCCUUACGGGGAAAGAUUUAUCGCCAAAGGAUUAGCCCGCGUCCGAUUAGCUAGUUGGUGAGGUAAUGGCUCACCAAGGCUCCGAUCGGUAGCUGUUCUGAGAGGAAGAUCAGCCACACUGGGACUGAGACACGGCCCAGACUCCUACGGGAGGCAGCAGUUGGGAAUCUUGGACAAUGGGGGAAACCCUGAUCCAGCCAUGCAGCGUGAGUGAUGAAGGCCUUCGGGUUGUAAAACUCUUUCGACGGGGACGAUAAUGACGGUACCCGUAGAAGAAGCUCCGGCUAACUCGUGCCAGCAGCCGC
rnacentral:rRNA from 1 species